rnacentral:rRNA from 1 species
UACGUAGGGGGCUAGCGUUGUCCGGAAUCAUUGGGCGUAAAGAGCGUGUAGGCGGUCCGGUAAGUCCGCUGUGAAAGUCGGGGGCUCAACCCUCGAAUGCCGGUGGAUACUGUCGGGCUAGAGUACGGAAGAGGCGAGUGGAAUUCCUGGUGUAGCGGUGAAAUGCGCAGAUAUCAGGAGGAACACCUAUUGCGAAGGCAGCUCGCUGGGACGUCACUGACGCUGAGACGCGAAAGCGUGGGGAGCAAACAGG